AGGCUGACAGUGCCAAGAAUGAUGCGACCAGUAUGGGAAAGAACGUGGCAGGCAAGGCUUCAGCCGCUGGGAAAAACAUGGCUAAUAAAGCGAAAGAAGUCGGUAUGAAAGCCGCUGACAAAGCUAAAGAAGCAGGAAUGGGCGCAGUGAACAAAGCAAAGGCUGCUGGAAUGGAUGCAGUGAACAAGGCAAAAGCUGCUGGAAUGGACGCCGUGAAUAAAGCGAAGAGCAUGGGAAUGGACGCAGUCAACAAGGCCAAAGAAGCUGGCAUGGGCG
rnacentral:lncRNA from 1 species